CCCGCCCGCGGGGCCCUGAGGGUCAGUGUGUGGUGUGGGGGCAGUGCCCGGAGUCCGGCGAAAACAUAUGUGGACUUGAGAUGUGGAACUCCGGGUGAGGCGGCGUUAUGGAAAAAUAAAUCUUCCAAGUCUGCCGCAGAUUCCAGGACGGAAAAAAAAGGAGAAACCGCUUGCCAGAGAAUUCUUGAGGAGGAGGUGUUAUGGAAAAAAAUUACCUUUGACGUCUGAGGAAGAACGUCAGCCGGGCUUCGUCCUCUCCGGCUGCGCGUCCGUGAGUGAGUGAGGUUACGGGGCUAUUUUACAGACGGACGGGCGAGCAUUUUUUUUGGGUUCGCGCUGAUUAUUUUUGUUUUGGGGCUUCCGGAAACCUGUGCGGUGUGAUGUGAGGCGGAGCGUCGAAGGAGGCGUUAACGGAGAGACCGAAGGAUCAGCUGAGGAUUCCCAUUUCUUGGCUGAAUCAAGUGGCCGCAUUUCCGGAGCAGCGUUCAGAUCAGUCCGAGGCACUGUAUGUGCAUGGUGUCGGUAACCGACAUUCCAAGACAAUAUUCCCCGCUGGGUUAAUCCGUAUUAAUCUCCGCAGACCAAAUACCGGGGGAGGGGGUGUGAGUAGUGGCUGCCUUCCCCUUCAAGAAGCUUUACAGGCUCGAGUCCUAUCAUGUUUAGGGGUGUCCUGUGUUGUGUGGCCGUUGGGUUUAUUUGUUCGUCCUCGAUAAGAGAUAAUUAAGAGGCGGUGUGAUUUACGACAGGGACGAGAGCCCAGCCCACGUCAACCGAGGGUCUGGGGGGGGGGGUCAACCUGAUCCCCUUCUCUCCGAAGGGUUUACACGUUCGAUGCCCAACAACAGACGUACUCGAAGCACAGAGUGUCCAAAAUCCCGGUUUAUUUCAAGGCGCCAAGAAGUUAUCAAUGUCGGGGUUGUUUUUUUUAGCCGAGGAGCCCUUCGGCCGCCGUAACUCCACGCCUCCCUCUGGGGGCCUUGUUUGAACGUCGUGGUCAACAAUUGUCCGGCUU